GAUGAACGCUGGCGGCGUGCCUAAUACAUGCAAGUCGAGCGAACGGACGAGAAGCUUGCUUCUCUGAUGUUAGCGGCGGACGGGUGAGUAACACGUGGAUAACCUACCUAUAAGACUGGGAUAACUUCGGGAAACCGGAGCUAAUACCGGAUAAUAUUUUGAACCGCAUGGUUCAAAAGUGAAAGACGGUCUUGCUGUCACUUAUAGAUGGAUCCGCGCUGCAUUAGCUAGUUGGUAAGGUAACGGCUUACCAAGGCAACGAUGCAUAGCCGACCUGAGAGGGUGAUCGGCCACACUGGAACUGAGACACGGCCCAGACUCCUACGGGAGGCAGCAGUAGGGAAUCUUCCGCAAUGGGCGAAAGCCUGACGGAGCAACGCCGCGUGAGUGAUGAAGGUCUUCGGAUCGUAAAACUCUGUUAUUAGGGAAGAACAUAUGUGUAAGUAACUGUGCACAUCUUGACGGUACCUAAUCAGAAAGCCACGGCUAACUACGUGCCAGCAGCCGCGGUAAUACGUAGGUGGCAAGCGUUAUCCGGAAUUAUUGGGCGUAAAGCGCGCGUAGGCGGUUUUUUAAGUCUGAUGUGAAAGCCCACGGCUCAACCGUGGAGGGUCAUUGGAAACUGGAAAACUUGAGUGCAGAAGAGGAAAGUGGAAUUCCAUGUGUAGCGGUGAAAUGCGCAGAGAUAUGGAGGAACACCAGUGGCGAAGGCGACUUUCUGGUCUGUAACUGACGCUGAUGUGCGAAAGCGUGGGGAUCAAACAGGAUUAGAUACCCUGGUAGUCCACGCCGUAAACGAUGAGUGCUAAGUGUUAGGGGGUUUCCGCCCCUUAGUGCUGCAGCUAACGCAUUAAGCACUCCGCCUGGGGAGUACGACCGCAAGGUUGAAACUCAAAGGAAUUGACGGGGACCCGCACAAGCGGUGGAGCAUGUGGUUUAAUUCGAAGCAACGCGAAGAACCUUACCAAAUCUUGACAUCCUUUGACAACUCUAGAGAUAGAGCUUUCCCCUUCGGGGGACAAAGUGACAGGUGGUGCAUGGUUGUCGUCAGCUCGUGUCGUGAGAUGUUGGGUUAAGUCCCGCAACGAGCGCAACCCUUAAGCUUAGUUGCCAUCAUUAAGUUGGGCACUCUAAGUUGACUGCCGGUGACAAACCGGAGGAAGGUGGGGAUGACGUCAAAUCAUCAUGCCCCUUAUGAUUUGGGCUACACACGUGCUACAAUGGACAAUACAAAGGGCAGCGAAACCGUGAGGUCAAGCAAAUCCCAUAAAGUUGUUCUCAGUUCGGAUUGUAGUCUGCAACUCGACUACAUGAAGCUGGAAUCGCUAGUAAUCGUAGAUCAGCAUGCUACGGUGAAUACGUUCCCGGGUCU
rnacentral:rRNA from 1 species